rnacentral:rRNA from 1 species
AACGAACGCUGGCGGCAGGCUUAACACAUGCAAGUCGAACGGGUGUAGCAAUACAUCAGAGGCAGACGGGUGAGUAACACGUGGGAACCUUCCUAGGGGUACGGAACAACUCAGGGAAACUUGAGCUAAUACCGUAUACGUCCGUGAGGAGAAAGAUUUAUCGCCGUUAGACGGGCCCGGGUCGGAUUAGCGAGUUGGUGGGGUAACGGCCUACCAAGGCGACGAUCCGUAGCUGAUCUUAGAGGAUGAUCAGCCACACUGGGACUGAGACACGGCCCAGACUCCUACGGGAGGCAGCAGUGGGGAAUCUUGGACAAUGGGCGCAAGCCUGAUCCAGCCAUGCCGCGUGAGUGAAGAAGGUCUUCGGAUUGUAAAGCUCUUUUGCCAGGGACGAUAAUGACGGUACCUGGAGAAUAAGCCCCGGCAAACUUCGUGCCAGCAGCCGCAGUAAUAC